AUGAAUUAUCCUCCCUGUCAUACUAGUAAUGUUAUUUGUACUAGUUUCUCUAGGUUUACGUAUUUAGCCAUUGUAAACAACAAAUCUCUACUGCAAUUGGAGGGACAACCAAUAAAUGACAUUCAGAUGGAAACAUAUAAAAACUUAUGCAAGACUGUACCAAUUGCACUGCAGGGCCGAGUCAGUUUUUCUUUUCUGCACUGUAGGCUGGCCAAUGAUGUCUUAAAUCCUCACUCCAAGACCUAUUUAAGAGCGUUUCUUAAUUUGAGCAGGCCACUAGGGGGUCCAACUAUCGUGAUCAGUGGCUUACUUGCAUUCUAG
rnacentral:rRNA from 1 species